rnacentral:rRNA from 1 species
AAGAUUUUAAAGGUCGAACAGACCUAGAAUUUUAAGGAGCUGCCCCUAAAACUAUUCUUAGUCCAACAUCGAGGUCGCAAACUCUUUUAUCGAUAAGAACUCUCCAAAAGAAUUACG